rnacentral:misc_RNA from 1 species
GAUGAAGAACGCAGCGAAAUGCGAUAAGUAGUGUGAAUUGCAGAAUUCAGUGAAUCAUCGAAUCUUUGAACGCACAUUGCGCCCUUUGGUAUUCCAAAGGGCAUGCCUGUUCGAGCGUCAUUUGUACCCUCAAGCUUUGCUUGGUGUUGGGCGUCUUGUCUCUAGCUUUGCUGGAGACUCGCCUUAAAGUAAUUGGCAGCCGGCCUACUGGUUUCGGAGCGCAGCACAAGUCGCACUCUCUAUCAGCAAAGGUCUAGCAUCCAUUAAGCCUUUUUUCAACUUUUGACCUCGGAUCAGGUAGGGAUACCCGCUGAACUUAAGCAUAUCAAUAGCGGAGGA